rnacentral:rRNA from 1 species
UACGUAGGGGGCUAGCGUUGUCCGGAAUCAUUGGGCGUAAAGCGCGCGUAGGCGGCCAGAUAAGUCCGGUGUGAAAGUCACAGGCUCAACCUGUGAAUGCCGCUGGAAACUGUCUGGCUAGAGUCCGGAAGGGGCGAGUGGAAUUCCUGGUGUAGCGGUGAAAUGCGCAGAUAUCAGGAGGAACACCGGUGGCGAAGGCGGCCUUCUGGACGGCUACUGACACUGAGACACGAAAGCGUGGGGAGCAAACAGG